rnacentral:rRNA from 1 species
AUUGAACGCUGGCGGCAUGCUUUACACAUGCAAGUCGGACGGCAGCACAGAGAAGCUUGCUUCUUGGGUGGCGAGUGGCGAACGGGUGAGUAACAUAUCGGAACGUACCGAGUAAUGGGGGAUAACUAAUCGAAAGAUUAGCUAAUACCGCAUAUUCUCUGAGGAGGAAAGCAGGGGGCCUUCGGGCCUUGCGUUAUUCGAGCGGCCGAUAUCUGAUUAGCUAGUUGGUGGGGUAAAGGCCUACCAAGGCGACGAUCAGUAGCGGGUCUGAGAGGAUGAUCCGCCACACUGGGACUGAGACACGGCCCAGACUCCUACGGGAGGCAGCAGUGGGGAAUUUUGGACAAUGGGCGCAAGCCUGAUCCAGCCAUGCCGCGUGUCUGAAGAAGGCCUUCGGGUUGUAAAGGACUUUUGUCAGGGAAGAAAAGGCUGUCGCUAAUACCGACAGUUGAUGACGGUACCUGAAGAAUAAGCACCGGCUAACUACGUGCCAGCAGCCGCGGUAAUACGUAGGGUGCAAGCGUUAAUCGGAAUCACUGGGCGUAAAGCGAGCGCAGACGGUUACUUAAGCAGGAUGUGAAAUCCCCGGGCUCAACCUGGGAACUGCGUUCUGAACUGGGUGACUAGAGUGUGUCAGAGGGAGGUAGAAUUCCACGUGUAGCAGUGAAAUGCGUAGAGAUGUGGAGGAAUACCGAUGGCGAAGGCAGCCUCCUGGGAUAACACUGACGUUCAUGCUCGAAAGCGUGGGUAGCAAACAGGAUUAGAUAUCCUGGUAGUCCACGCCCUAAACGAUGUCAAUU